UUUUUAAAAUAGUUUCAGAAUUAGGGAGAGAAGUCCUUUUUCCACUUCUAUCCAAGAAUCCUCAUUUUCAAGGGGUUCCACGCCAUUCUUGCCUAACACAGGCAGAAGCAGAGAUUGAACUGGAAGAAGAUUAUAAACCCCAAAGUCCACCUUGAGUGAUGCACCUCCUCCAGAGAAGCAAUACCCACUAAAGCACAACUCCACACACAGCGCCACCAACGAACGGGACCAAGUGUUCAAAAUAUCUGAGCUUACGGGAACAGUUUUCAUCAAAACCAUCAUCCCUGAGAAGUUUCUGAACACAGAUUGGACAUACUCCAAACACAGAGGACAAAGACCCAGAGUGCACCAAUAGACUGAGCAGGAAGCCCUGCAGGGAUACUAGAUCCCCAGUGUGCCAGGGCAUUCCUGUAGGUGUACCAACCACAUUCCGUUUCCUCCUCACUUCCUGUCAUCCUUACUUCCUGGAUGUCCAGGUUCCCUCCCUUCUGGUUAGAGUCUUUUUCUUCUGAGCUUCAGUCCACCCAUGUAGGAAGAAGAGCACCAUUACUAAUUAUAAAACCAUUAUAUGAUUAAACUUAAUUAACUUCAAAUAACCCUCGAAAUUUGCUUAAUGUCAGCCUUUGCCCUGCUUGAACUGCUAAAUAUUGCUGUCCUAUGGAAUUCUGAUGGGAUGAGAUGAUUAUGUUAUGAUACUUGGCACUCCAGGGGGGCAAUGGCAUGUCCUAACAUUCUGGACAGGAAGUGACUGCUUGGUCCAGGGAUCCUCUGUGCAGUGGGGGAAGCAUAGAAGAGAUAGUAGAGAUG
rnacentral:lncRNA from 1 species